rnacentral:rRNA from 1 species
AUACGUAGGGGGCAAGCGUUAUCCGGAAUCACUGGGCGUAAAGGGUGCGUAGGUGGCUAUACAAGUUGGAAGUGAAAGCCCAAGGCUCAACCUUGGAACUGCUUUCAAAACUGUAUAACUAGAGAUUGAUAGGGGAUAGCGGAAUUCCUAGUGUAGAGGUGAAAUUCUUAGAUAUUAGGAGGAACACCAGUGGCGAAGGCGACUUACUGGACUGUAACUGACACUGAGGCACGAAAGCGUGGGUAGC